rnacentral:rRNA from 1 species
UACGUAGGGUCCGAGCGUUGUCCGGAAUUAUUGGGCGUAAAGGGUUCGUAGGCGGAUCGUUAAGUCGGGGGUGAAAUCCUGGAGCUCAACUCCAGAACUGCCUUUGAUACUGAAGAUCUUGAGUUCGGGAGAGGUGAGUGGAACUGCGAGUGUAGAGGUGAAAUUCGUAGAUAUUCGCAAGAACACCAGUGGCGAAGGCGGCUCACUGGCCCGAUACUGACGCUGAGGCACGAAAGCGUGGGGAGCAAACAGG